UGAUGUUGUUGUGGCAGUGCCUCACUGGU
rnacentral:piRNA from 1 species